rnacentral:lncRNA from 12 species
GUUUGAGAGCUUAAGAGUUUGACCAUGAAGGGGCUACGCCCUCCCUGCUCUGGGCUGCAUAUGUGAGGACCAGAGAGCCCGAGUGGGGGCUGGAAGGAGGCUGCAUUAUUCCUGGCAGCCGGUCCCAGCUGGGUGUGAUCUCAGAGGAUGCAGACAGACCUUCAAAAUUGAUGACAACAUGUCUCCAAGGAGGAUGAGUGGCCAAAGAAAAAACAACACGCCCAGAAGCCCGGGCAGGAACAGAAAAUAACACAGACAAGUAUCUCGUUUCCAGAGAGGAGGGCUUCUCUCACCCAGUGUUUCUUUCCAUGCAGCAGAAUUUUCUAAACAAGCAAAUAUCUGCUCUCUGGGUCCUCUUCAGGCCUGAAUAAGUCAAGGAGAAGGAAGAGAGAAGUUUAGGGAGAAAGAAGGUGAGGAGGAGGCAGAAAGAAACAGGAGAAAACUCUGGAGAGGAAGAAAGGAAAGGAGGUCACACCCCUGGAAUUUAAGAUGUUUCCAGAAUUGGCAGUUUUGCCCCAUGGCUGAAUGUGAAUUCAGUGGGACACCGCAGAUGUGGGUCGUCGUUCUCGGGGCUGAGGAGGAUGGAGGGGGAAGAAACACUCCCAACGAAGGCCAAGGAAGGUCACCCCGUGUCUUGGCGCACCAGCAGUGUGGUUAUGGGAGUGAGUGGACCAGUGGAGUCUGCUGCUAACUGGGCUGCUGUGUUAGAGAAGGCGAGCUCCUGGUUCUGCUGCCGCCUGCCUUCACUCUGGAGCCUGACCCGCCUGGAUCAGCAUGGCCCUGGCCUGGAACCACAUGCGUGUGCUUGUGUGUCAGUGGUGUUUAUGCCAAGGGUGGCUGAUUAACAAAUUCAUGGAGCUAGCCAAAAAAAUCCAAUCAUGUGUCCACCAACAAAAGAAAAAACUGUCGCUGAAUCUGCUGUAAGAAGUAAUUACUAGAAGGCAAAUAACGACACUGUGGGAUUAGAAGGAGGAACAAAAACCAUUAAAAUACUCUUGGUUUACUUAAAUUAUUCUUGGUUUACUUACUUAAAGGAGUUUGCAUGUUUAAGUGGAUUACACUGGAGAACACUGAGGACGCUCAGCAUCUGUUUUAUUAACCACCAGGAACCUGUGCAGACACCUUGGCUAACCUCUUCCUGGUCUGCUGAGGUACACAUGCCAGAAAAGGAAUUGGAUUUGGCCAAGAAUGAAACAUUUUCUGUUCCAUCAAGCAUGUUUUCCCCUUUGUCAUAAGGGAGUGCUCAACUGGUAUUCCAAAGGCACACGUGCAAGAUGGAAUGAUCUCUGCCUGGUUGUGGUGGCUCUUCCUGUCUCCAUACACUUUCAUAAGGGCUGUGUCUGUCCCCAGUGAGAUGCAUGUGGCUUAUUACUCUGGAGGGAAGCUUACGCUCCAUCUAAUUGGGUGGUCGACAUUUGGACUCAAUUUUAGAGUUCUUUUUCUUCUGCUGUCCUUAUAAACCAAACAGAAUAAAACAAGUGUAGUUAAUUUGGUGGUGUCUGGG